UAGGGCCAUAUCAUGUUGAAACACAUGUUCUCAUAUGAUCACCAAAGUCGAGCAAUGCUCAGCUUGGUCAGUACCUAGAUGGGUGACCACUUGGGAAUACCAGGUGCU